rnacentral:rRNA from 1 species
UACGUAGGGCGCAAGCGUUGUCCGGAAUUAUUGGGCGUAAAGAGCUCGUAGGCGGUUUGUCGCGUCUGCUGUGAAAACCUAAGGCUCAACCUUGGGCUUGCAGUGGGUACGGGCAGACUAGAGUGCGGUAGGGGUGACUGGAAUUCCUGGUGUAGCGGUGGAAUGCGCAGAUAUCAGGAAGAACACCCGUGGCGAAGGCGGCUCUCUGGGACGGUACUGACGCUGAGACGCGAAAGCGUGGGGAGCGAACAGG